AUGAAGUACCUACCUCACGGCGCUGCAGUGAGGAGUAAUGAGCCCCAGGGCAAGCCAGGGCUUCACCCCCGGCCCCGGGCCUUGGGGAGACGGGCUUCACGGCCAGCAGCCACCGUUAGGCAAGAGCCCUGCUUUACAGGGAGAGAUGCAAGCUCAGAGAGGUCGCGCCUCCUGCUCAAGGUCACUGUUACUGAGCCAGGUCUGUCUGAAGCUGCUGAACACCCCAGGCUGGGAGGGGAAGCCAUCCCGACUUUGAGUGUUCUUGGAUCAGUUCACACCCCUUCAUUUUUGGUUGGGAAAAGGGUCAUGGGGGGAUGUUACACACACACACACACACACACACACACUCCAGAAGGGGUGCGGGGAGUGCCCAGGCCCCAUGCUUGGCACCCAUUGAGUUCCCGCGGCCGCGCUGUCCCCCCGCGGCCGCCAGGGGUCGCUGAUCCGGCGCACAGGCCACUUCCCAUUCAUAAAUCCGGCCUCGCUCCCGGCGCCUCCCUCCUGCAGACCCCUCCCUCUCGAGCUGGGCCCGGACGACCCCUGACGCGGGUAGCAGGCAUGACGCUCCCUGGAGACCCCUGGCGGAGGGGGAAGGGACGCCUUUCCACUCCGCCGAGUGCCAGCGGACCCACUCCCUUCGCGGGACCUGCUCUUGCCCUGGGACCUCCCAGCACCUCGCGGGCUGCGGGGGCUGCGGCGCGGGGAGCGAGGGGUUCGGCAGGAGCCCUCCGAGAGGUGGGCAGGGCCGGCGAGGGGCUCAGGCUCCAGCACCCAGGUUACCCGCCGAGACUCCUGGCUCCCCCAACCCUCACCGCGGGUCCCUUGGAUCCCCCCCAUCCCGGGCCCGGGUGGUCCCUUAUGCCCCGCACCUGUUGGUUUCGGGACGCAGGCGUUCGCGGCCGCUGGUCCCAGGCCCUUGCGCCGGAGAUGUUGCCUUCCCGCGGAAGAGUCUGGGCCCCUGGGCCCCCUCCCAAGGCUGCGCUGCCUCGGCUCUCUGGGCUGGGCGUGAGCCUCGGCUCCAGCUCUGGCUGUGGCUCGGAGCGGGCUCCGCCGGGCUGA
rnacentral:lncRNA from 1 species